ACGGGUGAGUAAUGUCUGGGGAUCUGCCCGAUAGAGGGGGAUAACCACUGGAAACGGUGGCUAAUACCGCAUAACGUCGCAAGACCAAAGAGGGGGACCUUCGGGCCUCUCACUAUCGGAUGAACCCAGAUGGGAUUAGCUAGUAGGCGGGGUAACGGCCCACCUAGGCGACGAUCCCUAGCUGGUCUGAGAGGAUGACCAGCCACACUGGAACUGAGACACGGUUCAGACUCCUACGGGAGGCAGCAGUGGGGAAUAUUGCACAAUGGGCGCAAGCCUGAUGCAGCCAUGCCGCGUGUAUGAAGAAGGCCUUCGGGUUGUAAAGUACUUUCAGCGGGGAGGAAGGCGAUGUGGUUAAUAACCGCAUUGAUUGACGUUACCCGCAGAAGAAGCACCGGCUAACUCCGUGCCAGCAGCCGCGGUAAUACGGAGGGUGCAAGCGUUAAUCGGAAUUACUGGGCGUAAAGCGCACGCAGGCGGUCUGUUAAGUCAGAUGUGAAAUCCCCGGGCUUAACCUGGGAACUGCAUUUGAAACUGGCAGGCUUGAGUCUCGUAGAGGGGGGUAGAAUUCCAGGUGU
rnacentral:rRNA from 1 species